rnacentral:lncRNA from 1 species
CGAAAGUAAAGUGAAGAGACAAAGCCCACCAGCACACAUGGAGGACUUCUGUCUUCAGAUUCUUCUUCACUACUGGACAGCACCUCUAAAAUCGGAUGUGCUGAGAUUCAUAGGAAGGAGCCAGUAGGAAUCGGAACAAUGUCAUUCCUAUAAAAAGGAGGAAAAAAAAUAUACAAAAGCAGAACAUGGGAAUCAAGAUAGAAUGUGGAAAACAGCUUUUCAUUGUCCACUGCAAACAAAUGAAGGAGCAAUAUCAUCACUUCUGCAGGUCAUCAUGUGCAAGAAGAUCGAAAACAUUUCUUGAGCAGAGCAUAUCGUGGGAGUGAAUGGAGGAGCACAAAACGAUAUCUUCUAUCUGAUAGAUAAGACCUGCCAGGUCUGAAGAUGCAAGUACCAAGGCAUAGCUUAGAGUAGCCCUAAAGCUUCUUUAAGUUGUGCUUGGAAAACAGUUGUUGGACUUGAAG